GUGCUCACUGCAGCAGCCCAUCUAAAACUGGAAAGACACAGAGAUGAUUACCAUGGCCCCAGAGCAAGGAGUAUGUACAAAUUCAUGAAAUGCUCCAUAUUUUU